rnacentral:rRNA from 1 species
UACGGGGGAGCAAGCGUUGUUCGGAUUUACUGGGCGUAAAGGGCGCGUAGGCGGUCGUGACAAGUCACUUGUGAAAUCUCCGGGCUUAACUCGGAACGGUCAAGUGAUACUGUCGGACUAGAGUACAGAAGGGGCAACUGGAAUUCUCGGUGUAGCGGUGAAAUGCGUAGAUAUCGAGAGGAACACCUGCGGCGAAGGCGGGUUGCUGGGCUGAUACUGACGCUGAGGCGCGGAAAGCCCAGGGGAGCGAAACGGG